GCCAGCUUAGCUCAGUUGGUAGAGCAAUUGACUUGUAAUCAGUAGGUCGUCGGUUCGACUCCGACAGCUGGCUCCA
rnacentral:tRNA from 2 species